CUAACCACGGUAGGGUCAGCGACUGGGGUGAAGUCGUAACAAGGUAGCCGUAGGGGAACCUGCGGCUGGAUCACCUCCUUU
rnacentral:rRNA from 1 species